UUUCCGUAGGUGAACCUGCGGAAGGAUCAUUAUCGAAUUUUGAGGGGAUGGAAGAUGAGGAGAGGAGACUGUCGCUGGCUUUCUCGCCUGGGUAGCAUGUGCACGCCUUGCUUUUCGUUGACCUUUCUCUUACUCUCACACCUUUGCACCCAUUGUAGGUCCUCGAAAGAGGAUCUAUGUUUUUAUCAUCACACGCAUCGUAUGUCCAUAGAAUUUAACGUGAUCGUCGAUCGACCUCGCGGUCGGGUGGCGGUCUAAAUAAAUAAAUACAACUUUCAGCAACGGAUCUCUUGGCUCUC
rnacentral:misc_RNA from 1 species